rnacentral:tRNA from 1 species
UCUCUUGUAGGUUAAUUUAGACUGUGGGUUUGUGGGAUCUAAGGUUUUGUUUUAAUAAGGGAA